rnacentral:miRNA from 1 species
CAGCAUGGAAGGAAGGAAGGAAGGAAGGAAGGAAGGAGAAUCUGAAAAACCAGGGCUGAUUUCUAUCUCCUUCCUUCCUUCUUUCCUUCCUUCCUCUCUCUCUC